CCCUUGGAGCGUUAUAUCAAACAAAAGUAAUUAGUUGAUUUAUUUUAACGAUGAAAUUGGACGCGUUAAAUAGGGAA
rnacentral:sRNA from 12 species